GUAGAAAUGGCUCAGCAGUUAAGAACACUUGCUAUUCUUGUAAAGGACCUGGGUUCAAUUCCCAGCAUCUACA
rnacentral:tRNA from 1 species